GUACACGCUGUGACUAGCAUAUCAAUAAGCGGAGGAAAAGAAACUAACAAGGAUUCCCCUAGUAACGGCGAGUGAAGCGGGAAGAGCUCAAAUUUGAAAUCUUAAAGGGUUUCCCUUUACGAAUUGUAGUUUAAAGAAGUGUUUUCUGUUGAGGUUUUGGUAAAAGUUCUUUGGAAUAGGACAUCAUAGAGGGUGAGAAUCCCGUAUUUGACCUUUACUUUCAACUUUGUGAUACACUUUCAAAGAGUCGGAUUGUUUGGGAAUGCAGUCCAAAAUGGGUGGUAAAUUUCAUCUAAAGCUAAAUAUUGGCGAGAGACCGAUAGCGAACAAGUACCGUGAGGGAAAGAUGAAAGGAACUUUGAAAAGAGAGUUAAACAGUACGUGAAAUUGUCAAAAGGGAAGCGUUUGACACCAGUGUUGUUUUUCUGAAAAUCAAUUAAAGAACUGUUUAUGCUAAGUUGUUUAGACUUUAUCAGCUAACUGUUUAGUUUUGAGCUUUUCUUUAAUGCACUUUUCAGUUAACAAGUCAACAUCAAUCUCUUUUGCUGUAAAAAAGCUUGAGGAAGGUGGCUUGAGAUUCGUCUUAAGUGUUUAUAGCCUCUUGCCUAUGCAGUCGGAGAGAUUGAGGUCUGCAGCGUAGGAUCCUUCGGGGCUAAAUGCAUUUGUGCUAAGUUAUAGCAUUUUAUAGACAACUUGUUGACUAUGAUUUGUCUUGUAGCUUACUCGCUUAUGUUAUUUUACCUACGCUUAGGAUGUUGACGAGACUGUCGAUCUC
rnacentral:rRNA from 1 species